rnacentral:rRNA from 1 species
GAGUCUGGAGACAGGUGCUGCAUGGCUGUCGUCAGCUCGUGUCGUGAGAUGUUGGGUUAAGUCCCGCACGAGCGCAACCCUUGCCUUUAGUUGCCAGCAGUUCGGCUGGGCACUCUAAAGGGACUGCCGGUGUUAAACCGGAGGAAGGUGGGGAUGACGUCAAGUCCUCAUGGCCUUUAUGACCAGGGCUACACACGUACUACAAUGGCCGAUACAAAGGGCAGCGACACUGCGAGGUGAAGCCAAUCCCGUAAAAUCGGUCUCAGUCCGGAUUGGAGUCUGCAACUCGACUCCAUGAAGUUGGAAUCGCUAGUAAUCGUGGAUCAGCAUGCCACGGUGAAUACGUUCCCGGGCCUU